GGGGGGACCGCGGGGGCAAAAGGGCCCCGUAGGAUGCUAUGAAAGGACAUAUGGGGCAACAGGGGGGUCUGUAGGGGCUGUGGGGGCGUUCCCAGGUUGGGGGGGCUCUAGGGCAGGGCAGGACCUUCAUCCCCCACCCCCACCGCUCUCCAGGACCCCCCUGAGCCUCAUCUGGAGCACCCGUGUCCCCCCACACCACAGGGAUGGCUUCGCUGGGCACCAGCAGCCAGAUGGUCACUGAGUACGUGGUCCGGGUGCCCAAGAACACCACCAAGAAGUACAACAUCAUGGCCUUCAACGCCGCUGACAAGGUCAACUUCGCCACCUGGCACCAGGUGACGCGGGGACGGGGG